rnacentral:lncRNA from 1 species
UCUUAAUGAUCAUAGGCAUAGCAACCCAUUUGGACCCUUGCAAUGGCAUUGGCCUGGAUGCUGCUCCUGGCAAGAUCACUCACCACUGUGAGCUGUGCGGUGGUGUGUUUUUCUUUCAUUUGAUAUUUGUUUAAUAUCUGUUUCCCCCCCCCAACCCCCCUUUCCCUGCCCCUUUCCCUAGAACCUUCCCUGUCAUUCAUUCUAGCCCCCUCCUCAGCUUCCAGAUGUUAGUUCUGCCCUAAACUCCUCCCCUGCUAUUCCCUCAUUGGUUACUGUUCCUACACCCGUCCUCCUGAGUUCUGUAUAAAACCUUUGCCCCCCCGCCCGCCGGGGUCUUGGGGCUCAUGGAAUAAAACCAUCUCGUUCCCCCCCCAAGUCCCGUGUCGCCUUCGUCUGUCCCCGCGCGCCACGAACUGAAACUGCAGAGCUUGCGGGGGAAAGCGGCCGCCCGUUCUCUUCCCUCACCGCCCAGCACGGCACCGCUCGGAGUGCCGCGGCGAGGAGCGCAUGCCGCGCCACAACAAAUGGUAGCAGAGGAUGGUUCCCUCCUUCGUCUUGUAAAAAAAACGGGCAAAUUUGUGGGGGUGCCCGCCUCACAGAAGAAGAAGGAGGGAAGAGGAACAUCUACGGCCGUAAAAGCUCUGCCUGAUGCUAUGAGGAGCUGAGCGCCGAGCGAAAAAGAUUGAGGCUCCGGGACCUCUUUGUUCUCGCCAUCUUCCCGCCCGGGAGCAGCCGCGCUGCACGGGCAGCCGGGCUGCAGAGCUUUUUGGCGGGCAGACUUACCCGAGAACACAGAGGGCGGUUUUGGCAGCGGCUCGGGGGAGCCUGAAGAGGGGCUGACCGAGAAGAGGUUCAUUCCUCGGUCAGCAUCUGCAGCGAGACCACCGGAGGCUGAUAGUGGCCGAAACCAAGGCUUCGGGGACGAGUCUUGGUUUAACGGGAACACCCAGGCUUCCGGAAGGGCCAAAACCGGGAAGGAACAUCCCCAGUUUUUAGCGCGACUUUUCCAUCGAGUCGAGGAAAAGAUUCAAGCCAUCUCCGUCCGAGCCUGCAAGUCCCGUGUCGCCUUCGUCUGUCCCCGCGCGCCACGAACUGAACUGCAGAGCUUGCGGGGGAAAGCGGCCGCCCGUUCUCUUCCCUCACCGCCCAGCACGGCACCGCUCGGGGUGCCGCGGCGAGGAGCGCAUGCCGCGCCACAACAAAAGCUGUUUAUUAGUUCAGGGUACAAGUGGUUUUAAAGAGCUCUCAUC